AUUAAAAUUAAUCAAAUGAUAAGUUAUUUAAAAUUAUACUUAUGAUUAGAAGUACCAAAGUAUUUGCCUUCCCUAACAAAAUUGUUCAGUCAUCGCCCAUUAAUGGCUUCCCUCACAUCAUUGUCGCUUCCUUCGCUACGAAUCCUUCUAGUUCUACUCCAGCUGCCACCCUCUUCUUCUCGCAUAAUUAUCACCUUACCCCUUCAACAAGCUACUCAGAAUCUACACCACAUUGAACCAUAUACAUACGACAACGUUAAUUCCCACCUUAUCCUAUAAGGCUUAAAUCACUAAGGCUUUUCGACAAUAUUAAUAAAUUUCCCACUCCUCAACCACUGAAAGAGAGAAAAACCAACUGCAUCAACCACUGCUGGAAUUGUCUUCCUCCUGAUUUUAUAAUCCAAAUUUUAAUUGACUUGCUAUUAGUUUUUUUCUUUUUUUUUUUUUCUUUUUUUUUUUUCUGUGUUGCAGCAGCUGAGAAUCCCAUUCUAAUAUGCUCAGAAAGAACUGUGAAGAGGGAUGAUUCAGUGAUUGAUCCUUUGCAGCUGCGUGCCAAUUUGGCAAUAAAAUAUUAUUAUUCACCGGAGAAUAUCCAGAAGAGGACAGUUCAAUCUGGGUUCAAUGAAUCAACUCCAUCAUUGGAUGAAUAGAUCUUUAUUUACCCUUCCUGCUAGAGGAUGAAAUUGGGUCAAGGUUUGCGGUAAAGAUUUCUUUAGCAGAUGAAUCCCUUCCUGAUUUCACCGCAUCAGCAGUUGGAGACGAUGAUUCAAUGGUCGAGGAGGGAAAGCUUGAAAUUACAAGGAAAAGGGACAGGAGGAAUAGUUCGAUUCAGCUUGUUGGCUUUGUUAGAAUGAUUCUCACUUCUCAGCAGCUCUCAGUUUUUCUUUGGGCAAAAGAAAACUUCCCAAAGCCUUUUAAAAAAGAAGCAGCAGUAACAUUUACCAAAGGAAUCAUUAUUGAAGAUCUCUUUCUUAUUUAAAUCAGAUUUAUGUCCAUUAAAACCUACAUUUAAAUAGUUUACUCAUGGGCUAUGGAGACAUAGGUAGAUUUUGAUCAUUGUAAUUUCAUUUUAUUGAUUUUUCAUGAUCCUCAACAGAUGCAAAUUCCUUGACAGUACUUUGUGAGCUAAUCAGGGAGAGAAUUGGGGUACUGUAGAGUAAACUUAUUAAGAAUUUUCUUUCUAGUGGUAUAAAAAUCACAGAUUGUAUUUCAUUGC